rnacentral:rRNA from 1 species
UACGAAGGGGGCUAGCGUUGUUCGGAUUUACUGGGCGUAAAGCGCACGUAGGCGGAUCGAUCAGUCAGGGGUGAAAUCCUGGAGCUCAACUCCAGAACUGCCUUUGAUACUGGCAACCUUGAGUCCGGGAGAGGUGAGCGGAACUGCGAGUGUAGAGGUGAAAUUCGUAGAUAUUCGCAAGAACACCAGUGGCGAAGGCGGCUCACUGGCCCGGUACUGACGCUGAGGUGCGAAAGCGUGGGGAGCAAACAGG